CCUACGGGAGGCUGCAGUGAGGAAUAUUGGUCAAUGGACGAGAGCCUGAACCAGCCAAGUAGCGUGAAGGAUGACGGAUCUAUGGUUUGUAAACCUCUUUUAUAUGGGAAUAAAGUGCGGGACGUGUCCUGUUUUGUAUGUACCUUAUGAAUAAGGAUCGGCUAACUCCGUGCCAGCAGCCGCGGUAAUACGGAGGAUCCGAGCGUUAUCCGGAUUUAUUGGGUUUAAAGGGUGCGUAGGUGGACUGUUAAGUCAGUUGUGAAAGUUUGCGGCUCAACCGUAAAAUUGCCGUUGAAACUGGCGGGCUUGAGUAUGGUAGAGGUGGGCGGAAUGCGUGGUGUAGCGGUGAAAUGCUUAGAUAUCACGAAGAACCCCGAUUGCGAAGGCAGUUCGCUGGGCUGUAACUGACGCUGAGGCACGAAAGCGUGGGUAUCGAACAGGAUUAGAUACCCGUGUAGUC
rnacentral:rRNA from 1 species